CAAAAAACCCCUCUCAAUGGCCAGGGCGUUACACUAUCGAUAGAUCAGUUGGAAAAAGUAGCAACUUUCUUCACAUGCCACGGUCAGUGUGAACCAGAGUGACUUGACACAACGCUGACCAAACAAGAUGUAGCUAAAAACAAAAUGGUGUUAAAUGGUUCAAGUCUGCCGUGUAGCGUUCGUCCAUGUAUACAGUGAACUGCCCUGAAUAAAAUCUGGGGUUCAAGCUGCAGGCCACCGAGUAUUUAUUAAGCCACAUCUGGGAUUGUCAUCACUGCUGCAUCGGCCCGGCGGAGAGAGAGAGGGAGAGGGAAUCGGAAAAGGAUGUGUGCUGAAGGCUAGGAGAAGGAGUGGAGUUGGGGGACUUAAAGACGGAUCCUGUCUAGUUACACAGCCAGCCUCGGUCCUUGGAGUUGGCCCAAGUCUGGAAGCAUGUCUCUUUUCCACCUUCCUUUCAUGUCAUUCCAAGCUGCAGAAAAAGGAGCAGGGUACGCAAACAUGCUGGAAGGGGAUCAUAGUCCAAACCUCUUUAUUUAUAUGUGCUUUUCUCUUCUGUGUCCUGCUCCCAGAGAUCAACCAAGUGCUAUGCUAUUCACCAAGCAUGGCCUCAGCUGAUUCACUCACCUGUGAGGACCAUCCUAUUGCAGUUUGAACUAGCCCUGCCG
rnacentral:lncRNA from 1 species